UACGUAGGGUCCGAGCGUUGUCCGGAAUUACUGGGCGUAAAGAGCUCGUAGGUGGUUUGUCGCGUUGUUCGUGAAAACUCACAGCUCAACUGUGGGCGUGCGGGCGUAUACGGGCAGACUAGAGUACUGCAGGGGAGACUGGAAUUCCGGGUGUAGCGGUGGAAUGCGUAGAGAUCCGGAGGAACACCGGUGGCGAAGGCGGUUCUCUGGGCAUUACCUGACGUGAGGAGCGAAAGUGUGGGGAGCGAACAGG
rnacentral:rRNA from 1 species